rnacentral:rRNA from 1 species
GACGGAGGAUGCAAGCGUUAUCCGGAAUGAUUGGGCGUAAAGCGUCCGCAGGUGGCAGUUCAAGUCUGCUGUCAAAGACCGGGGCUUAACUUCGGAAAGGCAGUGGAAACUGAACAGCUAGAGUAUGGUAGGGGCAGAGGGAAUUCCUGGUGUAGCGGUGAAAUGCGUAGAGAUCAGGAAGAACAUCGGUGGCGAAGGCGCUCUGCUGGACCAUAACUGACACUCAGGGACGAAAGCUGGGGGAGCGAAUGGG